rnacentral:rRNA from 1 species
AGCGAACGCUGGCGGCAGGCUUAACACAUGCAAGUCGAGCGGGGGAAGGUAGCUUGCUACUGGACCUAGCGGCGGACGGGUGAGUAAUGCUUAGGAAUCUGCCUAUUAGUGGGGGACAACAUCUCGAAAGGGAUGCUAAUACCGCAUACGUCCUACGGGAGAAAGCAGGGGAUCUUCGGACCUUGCGCUAAUAGAUGAGCCUAAGUCGGAUUAGCUAGUUGGUGGGGUAAAGGCCUACCAAGGCGACGAUCUGUAGCGGGUCUGAGAGGAUGAGCCGCCACACUGGGACUGAGACACGGCCCAGACUCCUACGGGAGGCAGCAGUGGGGAAUAUUGGACAAUGGGGGGAACCCUGAUCCAGCCAUGCCGCGUGUGUGAAGAAGGCCUUAUGGUUGUAAAGCACUUUAAGCGAGGAGGAGGCUACUUUAGUUAAUACCUAGAGAUAGUGGACGUUACUCGCAGAAUAAGCACCGGCUAACUCUGUGCCAGCCGCCGCGGUAA